rnacentral:ncRNA from 2 species
GCGCCUUCACGUAACUGGCGCUCAGAUGGUCACCAUCGGGGAGCGUGAGGGAAACUGCCGCGCGCCUGGGCAUAGCAA